UACGUAGGUGGCAAGCGUUGUCCGGAUUUACUGGGCGUAAAGAGCGCGCAGGCGGUCGUUCAAGUCGAGUGUGAAAGCCCCCGGCUCAACUGGGGAGGGUCAUUCGAUACUGAUCGACUGGAAGGCAGGAGAGGGAAGCGGAAUUCCCGGUGUAGUGGUGAAAUGCGUAGAUAUCGGGAGGAACACCAGUGGCGAAGGCGGCUUCCUGGCCUGUUCUUGACGCUGAGGCGCGAAAGCUAGGGGAGCAAACGGG
rnacentral:rRNA from 1 species